rnacentral:rRNA from 1 species
GCAUAUCAAUAAGCGGAGGAAAAGAAACCAACAGGGAUUGCCUCAGUAACGGCGAGUGAAGCGGCAACAGCUCAAAUUUGAAAUCUGGCCUCUUUGGGGUCCGAGUUGUAAUUUGUAGAGGAUGUUUCGGGCACCGCUCCGGUUUAAAUUUCUUGGAACAGAAUGUCAAAGAGGGUGAGAACCCCGUCUUGGACCGGCAGUAGGGCCCAUGUGAAACUCCUUCGACGAGUCGAGUUGUUUGGGAAUGCAGCUCAAAAUGGGUGGUAAAUUUCAUCUAAAGCUAAAUAUUGGCCAGAGACCGAUAGCGCACAAGUAGAGUGAUCGAAAGAUGAAAAGCACUUUGAAAAGAGAGUUAAACAGUACGUGAAAUUGUUGAAAGGGAAGCGCUUGCAACCAGACUUGCGCGCGGCGGUUCCCCCUUCCUUUUGGUUGGGUUAUUCCGCCGUGUCCAGGCCAACAUCGGUUCUGGGGGUCGGUUAAAGGCCUGGGGAAUGUAUCUACCCUUCGGGCGUAGACUUAUAGCCCCGGGUGUCAUGCGACCUCCCGGGACCGAGGAACGCGCUUCGGCUCGGAUGUUGGCGUAAUGGUUGUCAGCGACCCGUCUUGAAACACGGACCAAGGAGUCUAACAUCUAUGCGAGUGUUUGGGUGUCAAACCCGGAACGCGGAAUGAAAGUGAACGGAGGUAGGAAGCUUCGGCUGCACUAUCGACCGAUCCUGAUGUCUUCGGAUGGAUUUGAGUAAGAGCAUAGCUGUUGGGACCCGAAAGAUGGUGAACUAUGCCUGAAUAGGGUGAAGCCAGAGGAAACUCUGGUGGAGGCUCGCAGCGGUUCUGACGUGCAAAUCGAUCGUCAAAUUUGGGUAUAGGGGCGAAAGACUAAUCGAACCAUCUGGUAGCUGGUUCCUGCCGAGU